AUUGAACGCUGGCGGCAUGCCUUACACAUGCAAGUCGAACGGUAACAGGUCUUCGGAUGCUGACGAGUGGCGAACGGGUGAGUAAUACAUCGGAACGUGCCCGAUCGUGGGGGAUAACGGAGCGAAAGCUUUGCUAAUACCGCAUACGAUCUACGGAUGAAAGCAGGGGACCGCAAGGCCUUGCGCGGACGGAGCGGCCGAUGGCAGAUUAGGGAGUUGGUGGGAUAAAAGCUUACCAAGCCGACGAUCUGUAGCUGGUCUGAGAGGGCGACCAGCCACACUGGGACGUAGACACGGCCCAGACUCCUACGGGAGGCAGCAGUGGGGAAUUUUGGACAAUGGGCGAAAGCCUGAUCCAGCCAUGCCGCGUGCAGGAUGAAGGCCUUCGGGUUGUAAACUGCUUUUGUACGGAACGAAAAGACUCUUUCUAAUAAAGAGGGUCCAUGACGGUACCGUAAGAAUAAGCACCGGCUAACUACGUG
rnacentral:rRNA from 1 species